AUUGGGUGUGGUAGAGUAUACCUGUAGUCCCAGAUACUUGGGAGGCUGAGGCAGGAAUAUUGCCUGAGCCUAGAAGUUCUGAACUAUAGUACACGAUGUCAAUCAAUUGUCCACAUUAAGUUCAGCAUAUAGUGACCUCCAGGGAGCAGGGGACCUCCAGGUUGCCUAAGGAUAAAUUGGCCCAGAUUGGAAAUGAAGCAGGUCAAAACUCCCAUGCUGGUCAGCAGUAGGACUGCGCCUGUGAACAGCUACUGCACUCCUGCCUGGGCAGCAUUAUCUCUUUAU
rnacentral:SRP_RNA from 1 species